UCGGGAAUUUUGGGCAAUGGGCGCAAGCCUGAUCCAGCCAUGCCGCGUGAGUGAAGAAGGCCUUCGGGUUGUAAAGCUCUUUCGGCGGGGACGAAACGGUUCGUGACAACACCACGGACUAAUGACGGUACCCGCAUAAGAAGCACCGGCUAACUACGUGCCAGCAGCCGCGGUAAUACGUAGGGUGCAGGCGUUAAUCGGAAUUACUGGGCGUAAAGGGCGCGUAGGCGGCAUGACAAGUCACUUGUGAAAUCUCUGGGCUUAACCCAGAACGGCCAAGUGAUACUGUCGCGCUAGAGUGCAGAAGGGGCAAUCGGAAUUCUUGGUGUAGCGGUGAAAUGCGUAGAUAUCAAGAGGAACACCUGAGGUGAAGACGGGUUGCUGGGCUGACACUGACGCUGAGGCGCGAAAGCCAGGGGAGCAAACGGGAUUAGAUACCCACGUAGUCCCUGAGCGGGCUGGCAAGGCGCAU
rnacentral:rRNA from 1 species